UAGUCCACGCCGUAAACGAUGUCAACUAGGUGUUGGGGCGGUUAAUCGUCUCAUUGCCGGAGCUAACGCAUUAAGUUGACCGCCUGGGGAGUACGGUCGCAAGAUUAAAACUCAAAGAAAUUGACGGGGCCCGCACAAGCGGUGGAGUAUGUGGUUUAAUUCGAUGCAACGCGAAGAACCUUACCAGCCCUUGACAUCCAGUGAAUUUUCUAGAGAUAGAUUAGUGCCUUCGGGAACACUGUGACAGGUGCUGCAUGGCUGUCGUCAGCUCGUGUCGUGAGAUGUUGGGUUAAGUCCCGUAACGAGCGCAACCCUUGUCCUUAGUUGCCAGCACGUAAUGGUGGGAACUCUAAGGAGACUGCCGGUGACAAACCGGGNGGAAGGUGGGGAUGACGUCAAGUCAUCAUGGGCCCUUAUGGGGCUGGGGCUACACACGUGCUACAAUGGGACGGUACAGA
rnacentral:rRNA from 1 species